GCGGCGGCCGGAAGCGAGUGGGCGGGCGGGUGGCGCGGCGAUGGAGGCGCCCUCGGUGCCGGCCGCCUCGGCGGCGGGGCGCGGGCCCAUCAAGGGCAUCCUGAAGAAGGGCGGCGGCAAGCUCUCGGCGGACGGAGCGGCUCCCGGGGCGCGGCGGGCCAGUCCGGCCCGCGACGAGGAUGAGCACGGUAAAAAAUCCCAGAAGUGGGAUGAGAUGAACAUCAUAGCUACGUACCACCCAGCAGGCAAAGAUUAUGGCUUGAUGAAAAUAGAUGAGCCAAGUACUCCUUAUCACAGCAUGGUAGGGGAAGAUGAUGAGGAUGCAGUGAGUGAUUCAGAGUCAAACGAGCCCUUAAAAGCAGAUGUGUUAAGUAAAAAACUGGCAGCUGCAGCUGAAGGUAAAGGACCCAAGAUUAUAGCAAAGCAAGAGGAAAGCAGUGAGGAGGAGGAAGAGGAUGAAGAAUUAACACCUGAGGAACGAGAGAAAAAGAAACAGUUCGAAAUGAAGAGAAAAAUGCACUACAAUGAAGGACGAAACAUCAAACUGGCAAGACAGCUUAUUGCAAAAGAACUACAUGGUGAAGAAGAGGAUGAUGAUGAGGAUGAAGAGAUGCAUGAUGCUGCAGAUGUAGAAACAAUGAAUACAGAAGCUACUGAACAUGGGGAAAGGAGGGCUCCAAUAGGCAACCUUAUGACCUUUCUCCAUGGCUUGAAGCUGCCAUCUGUCUGCACUUUGCUGUAAAACAGAGGCAACUCCGCUCCCCAGCUGCAUUCGCCAGUGGAAAGAAGGCACACCUUUGCAGCAUUUUUCAGUCUCUAUUGUUGAAGUCCAUUCCACCUUGCCUCAUAACCAGCUUCAGAGCCACAACUGACUGAGAUUUCUUGCUGAUUGAAGUGAAGAUGGCCAGUCCAGUCAGUAAUGGUGAGAACUGUUUGUAUAUUUUUGCCCGUCUCUGUUGUGGGCUAUCAAGCAUUUUAAAUGGAUGAGUCAUUCCUUUCUUGCCUCGAGUAGCUGUACCUUAUCCCAUGCAUGUGGAUUCUAGCAGCCAAUCUUUUUGGUGGAAAAGAGAGUUAAAAUUGUAGCAGACCGCACUGGGAUUCAGCAUUUCAGCCUCACUGGAAUUUCUCUGGCUACUCCCUAUUUAUGACUCCACAAACAACGUAAAAAGACUUUGCCAGCGAAAGGGACCUUUGUUCCUCUUCAAAAAUAUUUUUCCUGUAGAAAUUCUCUUUAAAAUCACUGACGGAAAGAUUUCUGAUAUAGGUGAAUUCAAGCAUGAUUUCAGUGCAGACCUGUCUUCUGUUACACAAAGGCGUAAGAUACAAGGGUGUGAUCUAUAGCAGUUAAAUUGACAAGCAGUAAAGCUAUUGUUCUUUCUCUCUGGCUCAUUUAGCAUUCAUUGCUAUGAUAACCCUGCUCAGAUACUGCUUAUCAGUUUAGCUGUCAGCUGACUGGGUGUGCCCUCUUGGCCCUUGGUAGAUACAGAAUACAUUGUGUUUUAACCAUGGUGAGCAUCACCCUAAAGAUGAGUAAGGAGAAGGCUGGGAGCAUACACAAAUUGGUUCUGCUUGUUAGCUAUACUAUUUGCUUGUUAAACUGCCCUUGUUACAAAGUCUUAACUCAUGCCGGAGCCUACCUGGCCUUUAUUAAAGAUUAUAGUAAUCUUGACGCGGUUUUAUUUUAUCUUUGCUUUAUGUCACUAAACUUUCAGGUGCAUGUAUCCAUACUAUAUAGUGGGCUUAUUCAUAUGAAAAGCACUAAUGACAAGGAGCUUUCUCUGAUUUCUUGCUGUUAAACGUGAGUUUAAAACAUGAGUGCUAAACAUGUUGAAGUGUCUCGGCUGGAAAUGAAAUUUGACCUGAAAAGUACUAUGCUUGCUUGUGUUUCAGGAACUUCAUAUGUUAGUUCUGCAAAUUGAUCUCUCUUAACUGCUCGGUUAAAUCCUCCCAAUUCCAGAGGUGGACAGUAUUCCUGCUUGGUAUGCUGAACAGUGGUGUUAGCUGUUCCUUCAAAACAUGAGGGUGAAAUAACUAUUUUAGAAGCUUUUGCAUUCUCAAACUAAAGGCUUGUACAUUGCUAAGAUGGGUUCGCAAGCAUUGCCUUUGGAGAAACGAAGAUGAUUUCGGGAGGAUAUUUGUGUUUUGAAAAUACUUGGUGAGUGUGAAGCAUUAUCUGUUUUCUGUAAUCUUUCUUAUGCAGCACAUGCUACUCGUGACCACCUGGAAGGUAGAACACACAGCAUAGAAGAAAUCUGUCCAGAACUGUAACUGCUUGUCAGACACAAAUAUAAACAUCACUUUAUAAUUUUUGCAAUUAAGGCUCUUAAAUAUUGAGAAGCAUAUCAGUUACAAUGUUGUAUUGCCAAGAAUGUUAAUUUUAGAUUUGUCUGUUAGACAGAAAAAACUGUCUAAUUGAUUUAUUCUUGUGCCUAGUAUUUCAUGGAGAAUACCGCUUCAUAAUCUGUUCAACCAGAAUGGCAUUCCCUGUAUAUGUAAUGCUGAUUAUCUUGCGUAAUGUACUGUUACUCUUCACGCUUCAAAACAGACAGCAUCUUUUGGGUUUCACUAUUUAUUUGACAGUGUUCUAGGUGUGGUAUCUCCUAUGGAAAGGUUUGGGAUUCAAAAGCCAAAUGGUACGGCAUAUAUCAGAUUGACAUGCAAGAUAUUUAUCAGAUGUGUUAAGCAGUUUAAAAAGGGAUUAUUUAAGUCUUAUAACUUUUUUUGUAAAGUGUUGACCUGUUAAUCUAUAUUUCAGUACAUUAUUACCUGUACUUUCCAAGUCUUUAGAAAAAGAGCUGUAUUAUUUUUUAAGAGUGGUGUAUGGAAUCAGUUGUUAGUUUCUGACUAGGCAGUACUAACAUCUGGUGGAGGGAAUGUUUUUACACUGGAAAUGUGCUAACUUGAACAUUGGAACUUCGCAUUUAGCUGUUGUUAUCUCUUCCAUCGGGACUGGAUGUUUUGUGGAGCUCUCUUUUGGCUUAUAAUGAGAAUAUGGAAGUUCCCUCCAACUUUUCUCUUAAAAUCACAUCCUCUGUCGCUCUUCUGGCUCUUGUUUCAAACUUCUGGUCCUUUGCAGUUGCCUGAAGAGUGCUUGUGCUACUAGCACCUGAGGAAAGACACCCAACCGUGAGCAAAUCCACAUCAGGACUCUGAAGAUGAGCUGAGUUUAGGGUCUGGCUGUCCUUUAUGUAAGGAUAACUGCUGAUGAUCUCCUACUCAUUCGGGGUUGGCAACCUGCAUACUGAAAACCACUGGUCUAAAUCUUCCUGUAUCCAUUGCAACUUACAGCAACUGCUUUCGUAAAAUGAAGGCUGUUUGGAAUAAUAGAAGGGAAACUGCCUAAUUCAGGUACUUGUUUACGGUGUGGUUGUGUAGCCCCUGUAAAGAGGGAUUCUGAAUCUCCAAAUUGCUGUCAAUGCCUUCCCAACUCAGUGGAAUUUGACUGGUGAAUGUUCCAGUAUUCAGAGCAGUUCAUGGGUUUUAUUACAAAAAUGAAGUAUACACUUAAGCUUUAGCUUGGUUAUGGAAUACAGUGUAUAUCUUAAUUUUGAUCUGAAUUUGAUAUGUUGCAAAAAUCCAUAUAAUUAUAUGGAUCUAUUUUAAAAUGUCUUUUUGUCCACUGUAUAUGUGAAGUUUGAAUAAAGGAAUGAAAGUUAUUUUACAGUUA